GCGGCGGAGGCAGCUGCCGCCUCUGUCCUCGGGUCCGCUCCGCUCCGCUCCCUGGUGUGUUGAUUCUUCCCCCAGCUGCUGCCUAAUGGAGGCCAGGCGCCCGCGUCACAGGAAAUGCCUAUACUGCCCUCCUCACUCACUUCCGGCGGCAGGGGAAAGCAUGAAAGCAGUCCCUUACUACCAUAUAUUCUGCAGCUGAGUUUCCCAAAUUUGGGGAAAUAGUAGGGUUUAGCGCAUCUGGAGAUGAACCUUGUCCUGGGAAAACCACCACUAUGAUAGUGGCAUCUCCCCUGCAAUUGGCAGGAUGAUCCAUGCAGAUGGGUACUGGAGCCCUCCGAAGACCUGGAGGGACUAAGGAGUAGCAGACGAGCCUGUGACAGCGCUGGAGGCGCCAUGGCAGCACAGAAGGUGGACAAGGUCCAGGAGCUACGGGAUAACACCAGGCCUGGAGGUGGAGACGGCCUAAGAGGACCAGCCAAUGACCCUUGAGGCAGCAAGAAUCAUCGGGGAAGAGAGGACCACGAUUCAGAGCUCACCAGUGCUGAUGGCAGGGAGAGGCCUAAUGGACUUGGACUGAUGGACUUGGACUGAUAAUCCCACCAGAAGGCAGAGGAACCUUGGCAGGUUAAGUUUUUGGGACCCUGAGGGAGGAUGCUAUUGUUUGUACACCCCAGGAGAUGGGAAUCUGGGGGUGGCCAGUGGGCCUUGAUGGCCAAAAGCAGCCUGUGUAUGCCCAGCAGCUAGGCAGAGGAGAAAAGCCAACUGAGAAGGCAAAAGCUGGCACUGAUGCUAAGUUUGGGAAACUCUGAGUGGCUGUUAAGCACUAAGUAAGCUGAGGAAGGCCAGUGAGUCUCAUAAAAUCACCGGUGGGUGAUGCCCUGCUUGUUGUCGAGUGAGAGUGAGGAGCUGAGGAACCUGUCCUUGGGGGAUUGGAGGGGAACAUGGCUUGGGGUGGAGCCCAAGCCAAAGAGGGGACCCAAGAGAGGCCGCAUGUGGAGUUUGGAUCCCCGACCCAUGUUCUUGUGCAAUGGGUUGGCCUGAGUGCAGGGGUCUGCGUUUUGCAUUGGUGGCUAUGAAAGCUGAGUGUUGGAGCGACAGCAGACAGAAACCCUGAGGGCUGGUGAUUACCCCCAACAAUAUAGAAUCGUCAAUCCCAGAGUGAGUGCAUCCUGGGGGUGGAUGCGGUGUGUGGCUUGUGGCUGAGACCACAGCCAGAGAAGGCCAGGAAGCCUGAUGGCUCCUGGUGUCUGACAGUAGAUUGCCGUGAGUGGUUCCCCUCCCUCGUAUGAACAGUGCCUUUGGCAGCAGAUUUGGUGGAUCAUUUGCUGGUGCCAAUAAUUGUCUUUUGCCACUAGGAUGGUGCCCUGCCUGGAAUUAUUUGUGUUCUGUUGUAUUUUAUGUAUUCUGUUGAUCUAUUGUGAUGUAUAUUAUUUGUUUUUGUGGGCCAUGGCUGCAGUGUUCUAUUGCCAAGAGAAACAUAUAGACUGUAUGGCAGAAAACCUUGAGGGGGUGGAUUGUAGCGUAAGGUAAAAAGUAUCAGGCUUUUCUGCCCUCUCGCCAUUAGGAUAGAUGAGGGAACCCUGUGGUCCCAAAUGCAUGCCUGAUGGUGGGCACUUGAAGUGGGUACACCUGGGCUGAGAGACUGAGUUUAUAAGGGUGGCGUCAUGGGGACGCCAGCAGAAGCCGAGAGAAGAAGAGAAGCAGAGAGAACGCCAGAGAGCCCAGAUAGAGUGAGGAUUUGCUGGGGCCUGGGAGGACUGCCAGCCUCCCGGCCCCCCAGCCAUGUACGUGCUAAAUCUAAAUAAAAGACCUGCAGAAGCCACUGAGGACUCUGACUCCUCCUUUACCCGGUCUGCUGGAU